AUUGAACGCUGGCGGCAGGCCUAACACAUGCAAGUCGAGCGGAUGAAGGGAGCUUGCUCCUGGAUUCAGCGGCGGACGGGUGAGUAAUGCCUAGGAAUCUGCCUGGUAGUGGGGGAUAACGUCCGGAAACGGGCGCUAAUACCGCAUACGUCCUGAGGGAGAAAGUGGGGGAUCUUCGGACCUCACGCUAUCAGAUGAGCCUGGUCGGAUUAGCUAGUUGGUGGGGUAAAGGCCUACCAAGGCGACGAUCCGUAACUGGUCUGAGAGGAUGAUCAGUCACACUGGAACUGAGACACGGUCCAGACUCCUACGGGAGGCAGCAGUGGGGAAUAUUGGACAAUGGGCGAAAGCCUGAUCCAGCCAUGCCGCGUGUGUGAAGAAGGUCUUCGGAUUGUAAAGCACUUUAAGUUGGGAGGAAGGGCAGUAAGUUAAUACCUUGCUGUUUUGACGUUACCAACAGAAUAAGCACCGGCUAACAUCGUG
rnacentral:rRNA from 1 species